rnacentral:rRNA from 1 species
UACGGAGGGUGCAAGCGUUAUCCGGAUUCACUGGGUUUAAAGGGUGCGUAGGUGGGUUGAUAAGUCAGUGGUGAAAUCCCCGAGCUUAACUUGGGAACUGCCAUUGAUACUAUUGAUCUUGAAUACCGUGGAGGUCAGCGGAAUAUGUCAUGUAGCGGUGAAAUGCUUAGAUAUGACAUAGAACACCAAUUGCGAAGGCAGCUGGCUACACGAAUAUUGACACUGAGGCACGAAAGCGUGGGGAUCAAACAGG